UACGGAGGGGACUAGCGUUGUUCGGAAUUACUGGGCGUAAAGCGCACGUAGGCGGCUUUGUAAGUCAGGGGUGAAAUCCCGGGGCUCAACCUCGGAACUGCCUUUGAUACUGCAAAUCUCGAGUCCGGAAGAGGUGAGUGGAAUUCCUAGUGUAGAGGUGAAAUUCGUAGAUAUUAGGAAGAGCACCAGUGGCGAAGGCGGCUCACUGGUCCGGUACUGACGCUGAGGUGCGAAAGCGUGGGGAGCAAACAGG
rnacentral:rRNA from 1 species